rnacentral:rRNA from 1 species
GUACGGUAUAGAAAUAUACUGGUCAGUUCGGCUGGAUCGGUGACAGGUGUUGCAUGGUCGUCGUCAGCUCGUGUCGUGAGAUGUCGGUUAAGCCUUUAACGAGCGCAACCCUCAUUGCAUGUUACUUUUUCAUGCGAGACUGCCCUGGGUUAACAGGGAGGAAGUGGGGAUGACGUCAGAUCAGCAUGGCCCCUACGCCUUGGGCUACACACGUGUUACAAUGGUCAGUACAAUGGGUCGCAAUACCGUAAGGUGGAGCUAAUCCGUGAAAACUGAUCUCAGUUCGGAUAGAGGGCUGAAACUCGCCCUCUUGAAGUUGGAAUCGCUAGUAACCGCAAAUCAGCACGUUGCGGUGAAUACGUUCCCGGGUCUU